rnacentral:rRNA from 1 species
UGCUGUGAACUCGAAGAGUAGGGCGGGACACGUGGUAUCCUGUCUGAAUAUGGGGGGACCAUCCUCCAAGGCUAAAUACUCCUGACUGACCGAUAGUGAACCAGUACCGUGAGGGAAAGGCGAAAAGAACCCCGGCGAGGGGAGUGAAAAAGAACCUGAAACCGUGUACGUACAAGCAGUGGGAGCCUCUUUAUGGGGUGACUGCGUACCUUUUGUAUAAUGGGUCAGCGACUUAUAUUCUGUAGCAAGGUUAACCGUAUAGGGGAGCCGAAGGGAAACCGAGUCUUAACUGGGCGUUAAGUUGCAGGGUAUAGACCCGAAACCCGGUGAUCUAGCCAUGGGCAGGUUGAAGGUUGGGUAACACUAACUGGAGGACCGAACCGACUAAUGUUGAAAAAUUAGCGGAUGACCUGUGGCUGGGGGUGAAAGGCCAAUCAAACCGGGAGAUAGCUGGUUCUCCCCGAAAGCUAUUUAGGUAGCGCCUCGUGAACUCAUCUUCGGGGGUAGAGCACUGUUUCGGCUAGGGGGCCAUCCCGGCUUACCAACCCGAUGCAAACUACGAAUACCGAAGAAUGUUAUCACGGGAGACACACGGCGGGUGCUAACGUCCGUCGUGAAGAGGGAAACAACCCAGACCGCCAGCUAAGGUCCCAAAGUCAUGGUUAAGUGGGAAACGAUGUGGGAAGGCACAGACAGCCAGGAUGUUGGCUUAGAAGCAGCCAUCAUUUAAAGAAAGCGUAAUAGCUCACUGGUCGAGUCGGCCUGCGCGGAAGAUGUAACGGGGCUAAACCAUGCACCGAAGCUGCGGCAGCGACACUAUGUGUUGUUGGGUAGGGGAGCGUUCUGUAAGCCGUUGAAGGUGUGCUGUGAGGCAUGCUGGAGGUAUCAGAAGUGCGAAUGCUGACAUAAGUAACGAUAAAGCGGGUGAAAAGCCCGCUCGCCGGAAGACCAAGGGUUCCUGUCCAACGUUAAUCGGGGCAGGGUGAGUCGACCCCUAAGGCGAGGCCGAAAGGCGUAGUCGAUGGGAAACAGGUUAAUAUUCCUGUACUUGGUGUUACUGCGAAGGGGGGACGGAGAAGGCUAUGUCAGCCGGGCGACGGUUGUCCCGGUUUAAGCAUGUAGGCGGAGGUUCCAGGUAAAUCCGGUACCUUAUUAACGCUGAGGUGUGAUGACGAGGCACUACGGUGCUGAAGUGAUAAAUGCCCUGCUUCCAGGAAAAGCCUCUAAGCAUCAGGUAACACGAAAUCGUACCCCAAACCGACACAGGUGGUCAGGUAGAGAAUACCAAGGCGCUUGAGAGAACUCGGGUGAAGGAACUAGGCAAAAUGGUGCCGUAACUUCGGGAGAAGGCACGCUGAUGUGUAGGUGAAG